rnacentral:snRNA from 1 species
AUCGCUUCUCGGCCUUUUGGCUAAGAUCAAAUGUAGUAUCUGUUCUUAUCAGUUUAAUGAAUGAACCCUGAACAAUUUUUUUUUUUUUUGAGUUGGAGUCUCACUCUGUCACCCAGACUGGAGUGCAGUGGCCGCUCCUGGCCACCGCAGCCUCGACCUGCU